rnacentral:rRNA from 1 species
UAGGGAAUCUUCGGCAAUGGGGGGAACCCUGACCGAGCAACGCCGCGUGAGUGAAGAAGGUUUUCGGAUCGUAAAGCUCUGUUGUUAAGGAAGAACGAGUGUGAGAAUGGAAAGUUCAUGCUGUGACGGUACUUAACCAGAAAGGGACGGCUAACUACGUGCCAGCAGCCGCGGUAAUACGUAGGUCCCGAGCGUUGUCCGGAUUUAUUGGGCGUAAAGCGAGCGCAGGCGGUUAGAAAAGUCUGAAGUGAAAGGCAGUGGCUCAACCAUUGUAGGCUUUGGAAACUGUUUAACUUGAGUGCAGAAGGGGAGAGUGGAAUUCCAUGUGUAGCGGUGAAAUGCGUAGAUAUAUGGAGGAACACCGGUGGCGAAAGCGGCUCUCUGGCCUGUAACUGACGCUGAGGCUCGAAAGCGUGGGGAGCGAACAGG